UAUUUGCCCCGCGCGACCCAAAAGCUCUCGGCCCAGUCCAGCACACUCGUCCUCUUCCUCUGUCGCUCCGUCUACCGGCGAACUCGAGGCGAAAGUGGCGGCAAAAGGAGGCAGUCCCGGCGGCCAGAGAGGUGACUGCCGAUGGUCAUGGAGGCACGACGACGUAAACCCGGCAACCCUCCUCCUUUAUAUGGGUCGUGUGAUGAACUUUUCAGUGUAGAGAUACAUCAUGAUGGAGUUUUCUGUGGUGUUGGAAAGAAUCGGAUCUAUAUUGAUGACAAGGUGGACUGGUUUGAUUUCUGUGAGAGUGACACUCAUUGUUAUGGGUGCAAGAUUUUCUGCAGCAGCUAGGCUAUGAUGAAGCAGCAUAGAGCAAGUUGAGAGCUUAUUGGUGUGUGCCAGGGAAAACUGUAGCUGAUGGAUUAAGAAGUUUGAAAGGAGAUUCUGAUAUGGUAGACAUGAUAGCUGCUAGUACUGUGGAGAAGAACCUGGUUUUGUUCAUUGAUCAUGUCAAUUUCUUAGAGACCAAUAGGCAUGAUGAUGUACUGGUAGAUGGCAUGAGAGAUUUGACUGCUGUCAUUAUUAGUCCAGUAAAGAGGAGCAGAGACAAUUUAGAUGAUGAUGAUGAGGUCAGGGUUAUCAGUCCUGUUAAGAAAAGGAAGCAAAGAUAUGAAAGCAAAAGCAAUGAAGAUGAAGAGGAGGUUGAAGCAGGGGAAUAUGAUGACUAUGACAGCGAGCUGGAUUCAGACUUUGUGGAUAGUGACUAUGAAAUUGGCAAGGAUGAUGAUGAUUUGUAUGCAGAUAAUGUAGAUGAAGAAGUAGAGGAGUCAUACAAGGGAAAGCUGAAGGAGAAGGAUAAGGGGAAAGAGAAGGAGAAGGGUAAGGAAAGAGAUGUUGACAACUGUGUUAAAUCUGAGGAUGAUGAUUUGGAGUUACCUAGAAAAGAGAAUGGCAAGGAAAGAGCUGAUGCCAAGAAUCUUAAGUACAACUUCAGGACAUUCAGGGCAGAAACUGACAUGGAUGCUCCUCAGUUCAAGUUAGGCAUGAUUUUUUCAGAUGUGAAAGAGCUGAGAAAAGCACUUGCUGCCUACACUGUGAGAGAAAGAGUCAAGAUCUUGAAACUGAAGAAUGACAAGAAGAGGCUAGAAGCAAUGUGUGAAGAUGAUGAGUAUCCUUGGUACUUGAAGGCUUCUUUUGAUAACAUGACAUGAUGUUUCCUCAUCAAGAUCUAUGAUGGUGUCCACACUUGUACAAAAGGAUGGAACAACAAAGAAUUGACAGCACCUUUCCUUGCAAGGAAGUAUUUGGAUAGUAUAAGAGAUGAUGAGAAGAUGACAUUGAAGACAUUUGCAAGAAAAGUGACAAGGGAGUACAGCAUGUGCCCAAGUAGGAUAAAGCUGCAAAGGGCUAGAAGAAUUGCACUUGGCAUAAUAUAUGGUGAUGAACUAGCUCAGUACUUAAAGCUUUGGGACUACGCACAAGAAUUGAGGUUUACAAACCCUGGUAGCUGUUUAUUUCUUAGUGUAGAAGAGAUCACAACACCACCAAGUUUGGUCCCACUUCAGCACUUCAGCACACUAUAUUUCAAUUUAGAUGCUUGCAAGAGGGGCUUCUUGAGAGGAUGUAGGCCCUUAAUCUGUAUUGAUGGCUGCCAUUUGAAAACUAAAUUUGGAGGGAUAUUGUUUACUGCAGUUGGAAUUGAUCCCAACGACUGUAUAUUCCCCAUUGCAAUGGGUGUUGUGGAGGUUGAAGCAACUGCAUCUUGGAGAUGGUUCCUUGACACAUUGAAGAAUGAUUUGAAUAUUGUGACACUACUCCAUGGACUAUUAUGAGUGACAAGCAAAAGGGGUUGAUUAAUGCUGUCAAAGAGGUGUUUCCAGAUUCAGAACACAUAUUCUGUGUUCGACAUCUUUAUCAAAAUUUCCAACAGCUUCACAAGGGUGAGAAAUUAAAGAAAAAUCUAUGGGCAAUUGCAAGAUCCACCAACAUUCUAGCUUGGGAAAGGAACAUGCAUCAGCUAUAUCUAGAUAGCACAGAGGCUCAUGCUUGGGUUGAUGAGCUAGCCCCCAACACUUGGGUGAAAGCAUUUUUCUCUGAAUACCCAAAGUGUGACAUCCUUUUGAACAAUACAUCUGAAGUUUUCAAUAGCUAUAUCUUGGAAGCAAGAGAGAUGCCAAUUCUUAGCAUGUUGGAGAAAAUCAGAUCUCAGUUGAUGCAUAGGAUCCAAAGUAAGCAAUAAGAGGCUAUGAAUAAGUGGACAGGGCAUAUCUGUUCAAAGAUCAAGAAAAAAUUGGAAAAGAACUUUCAGUUUGCAAGUAAUUGCUUUGCCUUGGCAGCAGGAGAAGGGGUUUACCAAGUCACACACAGGGAAAACACUUACGUUGUUGAGCUGAAGUUUGAUAGAUGUGAUUGUAGAAGAUGGCAGUUGACUGGCAUCCCAUGUGGCCAUGCAAUUGCUUGUUUUAGGGAGGAGAGGAUCAAGCCAGAAGAUAAACUAGAGAAGAUAUACUCACUAGAGACUUACAUGAGAGCAUAUGGACAUAACAUCAAGCCUGUGAGGGAUCAGUCACAUUGGCAGAAGAUGAAUGGAGUGACAGUUGCUCCACCAUAUAAGAAGCAUGUUGGCAGGCCACGGAGGUGCAGGAGAAAGGAGCCAAAGGAAUUAGAGAAGAGAAAGCUCAGCAAGCAUGGUGUGGUAAUGCAUUGCAGCAUAUGCCACUCCAGUACCCAUAACAAAAAAGGUCACAAUAGAGCCAUGGGGUUGCCUGCAUCUGCACCUGAGGCAGAACCUGAACCUAACAUUGGUGAUGAUACAUAGUUUGAACACUUCGAAGAAUAUCAAGAGGGUAGAGUGGCUCCUGAAACAUGGCUGACUCCAUUGUCUACAAUUUAAAUCAGAGAAUCCCUGUUGUACAUGACAACAACCCUGGCCCACUGCCAGAAGAGAGCCAAUUUGUUGUUGAUCACAGGGAGAUGAUAGCACCUCCAAGAAUGACCACAUCAAUGACAAGAGGCAGAUCCAGAGGAAGAGGAAAGGGAAAGGGCAGGGGCAGGGCAACGGAAGCAAACAAUGCUGAAGAUCCACCAGCAUCAAGUGAUACAACAGAAGGUGCAAGGGGGAGAGGAAGAGGAAGAGGAAAGGGAAAGGGCAGGGGCAGGGGCAGGGGCAGGGAAGAAAACAAUGCUGAAGAUCCACCAGCAUCAAAUGAUACAACAGAAGGUGCAAGGGGGAGAGGAAGAGGAGCAGGAAAGGGAAGGGGAAGAUCAGCAGGAGUUCCCCCAACAUCAAGUGAUACAACAAAAGGUGCAAGGGGGAGAGGAAGAGGAGCAGGAAAGGGAAGGGGCAGAUCAGCAGGAAGAAGAUCAUUUGGCAGGCUGCACAAUUUGUUGUUUGGACCUGAUCAACCUGAACAAGCUGAUGUGAUCAACAACACUCAAGGAGCUCCUUUAGAAUGAGCAUGACCAUGCACUUCUCAUAUUUUGCUUUCAUAUGUUCACAUAUGCACUGGGUAUGGACCAUAUAUUUUGUGAUGUAAGCCCUUUAUGCAUUGUAAGCUCAUAUGGUUGGUACUGUCUAUUUUGGUACUAUUUUCUGUCAGUAUGAUCUAUUUAGAUUAUGAACAUGUUCUAUGUUGCUGUCAAUAUAAUCUGUGACUUUGUCA